GUGCUUUCUUUGGAGUUCGCGGAUUCGUUAAAGGGUUGGGUCGAUUGCUUGGAAUUCCUCGCCCACUCUCUAUUGCCCUUGCAUCUGUUGUAGGCUCAUUUGUAUCUGAGAGAACAAAAUUGAUUGGACGUGCAAAUUUUUUGGAUAACGAGGGCUUGAAGCAAAAUUCG
rnacentral:rRNA from 1 species